UACGGGGGGGGCAAGCGUUGUUCGGAAUUACUGGGCGUAAAGGGCUCGUAGGCGGCCAACUAAGUCAGACGUGAAAUCCCUCGGCUUAACCGGGGAACUGCGUCUGAUACUGGAUGGCUUGAGAUUGGGAGAGGGAUGCGGAAUUCCAGGUGUAGCGGUCGAAAUGCGUAGAUAUCUGGAGGAACACCGGUGGCGAAGGCGGCGCUCUGGACCGAGACUGACGCUGAGGCGCGAAAGCGUGGGGAGCAAACAGG
rnacentral:rRNA from 1 species